UAGCAAGGUUAACCGUAUAGGGGAGCCGGAGGGAAACCGAGUCUUAACCGGGCGUUAAGUUGCAGGGUAUAGACCCGAAACCCGGUGAUCUAGCCAUGGGCAGGUUGAAGGUUGGGUAACACUAACUGGAGGACCGAACCGACUAAUGUUGAAAAAUUAGCGGAUGACCUGUGGCUGGGGGUGAAAGGCCAAUCAAACCGGGAGAUAGCUGGUUCUCCCCGAAAGCUAUUUAGGUAGCGCCUCGUGAAUUCAUCUCCGGGGGUAGAGCACUGUUUCGGCUAGGGGGCCAUCCCGGCUUACCAACCCGAUGCAAACUGCGAAUACCGGAGAAUGUUAUCACGGGAGACACACGGCGGGUGCUAACGUCCGUCGUGAAGAGGGAAACAACCCAGACCGCCAGCUAAGGUCCCAAAGUCAUGGUUAAGUGGGAAACGAUGUGGGAAGGCCCAGACAGCCAGGAUGUUGGCUUAGAAGCAGCCAUCAUUUAAAGAAAGCGUAAUAGCUCACUGGUCGAGUCGGCCUGCGCGGAAGAUGUAACGGGGCUAAACCAUGCACCGAAGCUGCGGCAGCGACGCUGAUGCGUUGUUGGGUAGGGGAGCGUUCUGUAAGCCUGCGAAGGUGGCCUGUGAGGGUUGCUGGAGGUAUCAGAAGUGCGAAUGCUGACAUAAGUAACGAUAAAGCGGGUGAAAAGCCCGCUCGCCGGAAGACCAAGGGUUCCUGUCCAACGUUAAUCGGGGCAGGGUGAGUCGACCCCUAAGGCGAGGCCGAAAGGCGUAGUCGAUGGGAAACGGGUUAAUAUUCCCGUACUUGGUGUUACUGCGAAGGGGGGACGGAGAAGGCUAUGUUGGCCGGGCGACGGUU
rnacentral:rRNA from 1 species